GACGAACGCUGGCGGCGUGCCUAAUACAUGCAAGUAGAACGCAGUUGCGAACGGGUGAGUAACGCGUAGGUAACUGCCUGGUAGCGGGGGAUAACUAUUGGACACGAUAGCUAAUACCGCAUACUACCAGAUGGACCUGCGUUGUAUUAGCUAGUUGGUGAGGUAACGGUUCACCAAGGCAAUGAUACAUAGCCGACCUGGUAGGGUGAUCGGCCACAAUGGGAAUGGGACACGGGCCAGACUCCUACGGGAGGCAGCCGUAGGGAAUCUUCGGCAAUGGGGGGAACCCUGACCGAGCAAAGCCGCGGGAGUGAAGAAGGUUUUCGGGGCGUAAAGCUCUGUUGUUAGGGAAGCGGUACUUAACCAGAAAGGGACGGCUAACUACGUGCCAGCAGCCGCGGUAAUUC
rnacentral:rRNA from 1 species